rfam:Loxodonta africana unplaced genomic scaffold scaffold_160, whole genome shotgun sequence.
GCAUUGGUGGUUCAGUGUUAGAAUUCUUGUCUUCCAUGCAGGAGACCUGGGUUCAGUCCUUGGCCAAUGCA